AGCAUGGAGCAGGAGCAUCGGUCCAAAGCACUGUGGGCACAGAGAACACAAAUGGCCUCAACGAAGGAAGGGAACGUGGUGGUGAGCAGCUCGAGGAGCCUGCUCUGUGCCCACUGCCCUCUGACUUGGGCUUGAAGGCUGCAUUAAGGAGCAAAGCCGGGGCAGGGAGGAGGCUGCAGAGUGCCGACCUUGGGACCGUCUCACCCUCACCCCGCUCUGGGAUGUGCCGGGAGCGUGUUUUGCUCGUCUCUGCCGUCCUCCUACAUCAGGAACACUGCGUUCAGAUAAGGCUGCACCUUUCCCAUCCAGCAGACGGAGGCUGAGCAUCCAUCCCCCUGGAUUGCAUAACCGCAGUGGAGCCGAGCGGCUGCAGCCUUCUCCGCUAUUGGAUGUCAGCUAUUGUGGGCUCCUCUUGAUGAGGUUUUUGUUUGGCUUUUUUGUCAGCUGUGUCACACGGUUCGGGCUAUAGGCGCUCUGAAAUUGUCCUUUUCCUACACGCAGCUGAUGGGAGACAAGGAAACAAAUCAGUUCUUUUUAAAUUUCAUUUCCCCCGGCUUGUCCUGCUUGUUCCCUGCUGUAAUUGGCCUUCCCUGCUGUAAGCGCUUUUCUGGUUAGUUGUCAAGGAAACGUUUUAGCAGGGCACAUCCUGGCUCAGCUACCCGCAUCCCGAAGGGCUGAUGCUGUCCUGCACCUGCAUCCAGGGAGCAGAGCCAGGCAGGGAGGCGUUGAUCCCCCACAGCAUCCCCACCCAGUGCCCUGGCCUGGCUGAGCAGAUGAGUGCGAGGCAGGGUGAAUUUCUGCUUUAAAACUUGCAGCAGAAAAGCAGGCUGAUGGAUGCCUUCGAUGCAGAAACACCUCUCCAUGGCAGUCCCAUGUGCUGGUGAUGGUGUGCAGGGCUGGGUGUGGGUCUGGUGCCCAGUGAGGGAUGGAGCAUGCUGUCCCUGUGCAGUGCCCCAGAGCCCCGUCCUGCCUUGCAGUACAUGGACCACUUUCCCUUAGCUCAUAUAACCACGCUGUUCUGUCCCCAACAAGUUUAUGCUCAAGUGAACAGGGCAAAGGGGUGGGAAGGGAGAGCAGGGUGUGGUGUUGGCAUGGCAGAGAGCACAGUGCCGGUGCCAUCAGCCUUCCCUGAGUGGAGGCUGUGCGGGGUUAUGGGGAUUGCUGACUGCCAGCUUUCAUCGGGGUGUCAGGUGGUGUGGAACCAGCACAGGUUCUUGUAGGUGGUCCUGGAAAUCGUUCCUCUGCCCAGAGGUGCUGCAUCAAAGUGGGAAAAGAUCUCAGCACUCCACUGAGCGUUGUGGCUGUCUUGGUGCCUCUCAUCCCAAUCCAAUGUUGUUGUUCAAAGGGGAGAAAGUGUACAUAGUGAUCAGAAGUAGGUCAUCGUGGCUGGGAAGGGCAGGGUGUAAGGAGCUGCCUUCUCAGGGUGGCUGCAGCACGUCCUGUCCCGGCUCCUCCCAGCCCAUUGCUUCAGGCCACUCAGUGCCAUAUGCUGCACUUGGGCUGUGAGAAGUUUGGGGGCUGCUUCCCGUGUGUGCCAAUCUGGGCACUGCUCCUGGCCAAGGCUCGUUUCCUGGCAUCUUCUCCCAGUUGCUGUUCUGUUGCCUUCGUUUCAUUUUCUCGGCAUGGCCCUCACAGAGAGCAGCAGCUGUCUCUCUGGAUGGACACGUUGCACUUCCAGCCUUUCUCUCCAUGUUUCUCCCACCACACAUCUGCUCCCCGUGCACAGCCCUUGCCUUUCCCAGCUCAUGCCCUAAAGCAGACGGCGCGGGGCAGCCCGAGCAGACAGCAGAUCCCCGUGCUGUGCUCACAGCCUUCACCUCCUCCAGUCCAAAGGGUUUGCUCAUGCUGUCUCUGUCGUCACUGAACAGCAGCAAAACGCCAUCCAGACGUCUGUUUGUAUACCGUGUAUUUUAGUUGCAGUCACAGCACAUAUCUCCUGGUAAACACUGCAAUGCAGCA
rnacentral:lncRNA from 1 species